AUGAUUUUCAUACUUGAGCCAUGUUUUCUUUCAGAACUAGGAGAACAGUUAUGUCCAUGGUCAUCUCCCAAUGCUAGAACAGAUGACCACCUAAAAUUGGCCACAGACUUGGUCAAUUUACAGCCUGCGACUGGACGGGAGCAGCCUGAUGCCCCAUCCAUGGAGGAAUUUAAGCAGCUGGCAGAGAAGGAGAAACGCGCUGCCCUUAGACUCCAAGAGGAGGAGUGUGUGAGGAGGUGUGUGCAAGAUGCCGAGAGAAGCAUUCGUGAGGAGUGUGACAUGAAGGCAGAAAGAGAGAAAUGGGCCCUACAGGACAGACAUGAAGAGGAGAAAUCUGAGCUACAAAACAGGUAAAAAUACCCCUCCUGCUCACCCCAGCUUCCUGUUGUGAUGCAUCUCAGCUAUUCUCUUUCUCCUUCCCACCUUUUGUAAAUUUCAUUAGUUUCUCUUUUUGUAUCUCUCUGCUUUCUCCUUUCUCUUCGAGAAUCCUAGAAUAUAUAGGUUUUGUUGUCUUCAUCAACAGUUUCUCCACCACUUUCUUUCUUUCUUUUUUUUUUUUUUAAACAAUGUUCUGAAAUGGUGCAUGACAGUGCGUGUGUGUUCCAGGAUGCAGCAGCUGCGGGACAGUCUGGAGCAGGCCUGCAGGGAGCGCAUUCAGUAUGAAGCAGAGUUUAAGGUCAGCCCUUGUAAUGAGGUCAUCAUGAAUAAAUGAACGGCUCUAAAAAGGGACCUGCUCA
ensembl:lncRNA